AUGGCUGCUCUGUGAUCUGGCAAGCACAGGCACUGAAGCUCUGUGCUCUCAGGCCUAAUUUCAAUUUUGGCCGUUUUGAGCGAUCAGCUCCCUGUGCCGGUAUUGGAGGGGGCACAGCCCAGGGACCCGGCAUGAUGAAGACUCCCAAUCAUAAGCCAAGUGCACCACAGCCCAGACCUCUGCUGGAGCCUUCCCCUGGGCCACCCCGGGGCCGCACGCGGGCGCUCUGGGAGUCUUCUCUGUUGCAGACCCUGCUAUGCUCCACCUAAGAACUUGCUGAACUGUCAACAAGCCACUGGACAAGGUUCCCUGAUGACCUGGGAUGUUCUUUCUCCCGCUGGAGAGACAAUCCGCCCAACUACUCCUGGGAGCCGGGGAGCGCCCCACACAGGAAAUCGUGGCCUGCUCCAGGUCAGCCUGGCGGUCAAGAUCCCCCUCGACUCCUGCUUGCUUGUUCCUGUGUGACCCUGCCAUGGGCGCAAAGACAAAGCCCCUGGGAGGACCAGUGGGCUGGCUGGGAGGAAGAGCCUGAAAAAUCUAUAAAACCAAGUGCUGUAAGUCCCCUAACAAAGGCUUCCAGGUCAGGCAGUAAGUGUCUGACUGCAGGGCACCAGCGCACCUGCAGGAGGUCAGGGAGGCUCCCACGGCUCGUUUGGGGCCAGAAGACAAGUCCCUUUGCUCCCAUCAGAUUUACAAAGCCUUCUCCUAGUGACUGUCCUCGAGGUCACUGUUCUCCCCUCUUUUUGGGGCAAAUGAGCCUUGGCAUGUCCAUUCUGGAAAGGGGACUGAUUAUUUCUGUUAAAAAGCCUAUGUGACCUCAAAGCAGGGGCUUGACCUCAGGACAAACCUGGACAGUAGCUGGUCUGGUAGGAUCUCUCUGCUCCCCAAGAUUCCACGGGACUGCCAUCAUGUGGAACCCAGGCUUCUCUCUGGGGUGGCCCCUUCCCUGUCCCCCAGGUCCUGGAUGGCUGCUCUAGGAUGCCAGCAACAGCUCCGGGAGGCUGACUCCUGGGUCUUUGGAUCAAAGUAACCUGGAGCUCUGCAUGGGCUGCUUAGGGCUCAACCCGGGAAUCAAUUCCCCUGGAACUAAAGAGACCACCCCCCCCCCACCCUCUGCCACCAGCUAGGAGCUGCCACGUGUAGCCUAAUGCCCUGGGCCCCUCAAACCUCCUAAGCCCCUAGUUGUGUCCCCUUUUGUGAACCCACAGCCGUCAGCUGGGCCCACUUUCCCCUGAUGACGAUGGGACUCCCCAGGGAGCUUCCCUGACGCUUCUCCUUCCAUGGCAGUGAGUGGGCACAGGCUGACUCAAAUCGGUGCUCAAAAAAUGCCCACUCGUUCACCAAAUGUUUACAGAAAGCCUUCCGUGCUCCCAGCCCAGCAGGUCCAAGGACAGCUCAGAGGCUAAAGCAGAGUCAGAGGAAGGAGUCUGGGGGCAGUCAAGAGUCUGCAUUUCCCACUCAGCACUCCCCAAGGACCUACAUAUGCCAGACUCAGUGUGGGGGGCAAGGGACGGGGACACAAAGGUCAUUCCACCUUGAGAGGCUGGGAGGGGAGAAGAUGACAGGGCCAGGUUUUGAGUGAGGUACUGAAUGUUCCUUGGUCAGAAGGGGCGAUAGAAGGAGUGGAGGCAAAGCUGAAUUGGCAAGAGGAAGCCAGGCUGCUCCUCAGGUGGUGCUGGGCAAGUUGGAAGGGUGUGGAACGCAGACAAACCCUGAGGAGGGCCAGUGCCAUCCUCUUGCCCCUUUCAGCCCACUCCUCAGUGCGGCAGACAGAGGGGUCCAGCUUGGAAGCCCCAGGGGCACCGCCCUCUCCCAGCUCCUUGCAAGGCCAGGCACGCUCCUCCCUCAGGGCCUCUGCACUAUUUCAUCCCUCUGUCUGGAAUGCUCCUGCCCAGAUACCCAGGGGGCUCCCCACCUUCUCCAGGUGUCUGCACAAACGUGGCCUAAACAGGCAUACCCUGCUUUCUACCCUGGCACUCUCACACUUCCUUCUCUGCUUAAUUUCUUUGGGACACAGGACACCACUUGACAUUGACUAUUUUAUUAUCUGUCUCUGUCCCUUAACAUGUAAGCUCCAUAAAGGCAGGGAUGUUUGUUUUGAUUAGGCACACAGUAGGAGCUAAAUAAAGAUUUAUUUAGUGAAUGAAUGAACGCAUGAACAUCCUCUGGUUGGCCCCCACCCCCCACCUCCACUGAAUAAAGGAUGCCCUGAUUGGCUGCUAACUCAGAGUGGAGCUCUCAUCACCCAGCCCCGGGUGUGCGCAUUGAAAGUGUCAGGUCCCAGAAGGGCUACUGGGGACUGUGGGUUCUGGGCAGCUGUGACUUCAGACACGGCCCCUGCAGUCUGGAAACUGAAACGCAGCCUCCCUGCCGGUGGUGAUCUCAGCAAGCGCUUGGCCACCCUGGGCCUCACACAGGUCUGGAGAGGAAUGCAGAGCCUGGGCAGGACGCCUGGAGUUGGAUGCAAUUUAUUAUUCCGAAGACUCCCUGAGUUUCAAGGUUUUGAAUAUUAACCCACAUACUUUGAAGGGGGGUGGGGCAGUUGCAAAAAAUAAAACCCAAAACCUAAAGGAAACAAUCUGGGGAGAGCUGGAGGGGAAGCAUGAAAUGGAUGAAACAUAUGUGCCAAAGCCUGAACAAACAGAGCGAGAGGAAGGGGCAGCCCAGUCUAGGGCCUUCGAAAAAAAUCACAAUUUAGAAAACUGCUUGGGAAGAAGCAGAAGACUCCAGAAUGUGAUCUUUCUUCGAGGCUGCAUCUCUCACUGGUACCAGGGAAGGUCCCAAAUGUGCUGUCUGUCUGCUGACCCUUGUGCUGUGUCCAGGAGCAGGUUUUAGGAGUUCUUCUCUGGUAUCUUGGGCCACGGCUGCUCAACUUGGCUCCUGCUUAAAAGGUGACCUGGAUUGACACCUGCCGCCGUCUCCCACCUCCAUCUGCAGCAGCGCAGAGAAGUGCAGAGCCGAGGCGGGCAGGGAAGAUGAGCGGGGGUUCCAGAGUAGCCCCCCGGGGCCUCUCCCUCUGCCCAGACACGCCCAGGCCGCCCUAUUAAUAGACCAGCGGCAAGAACCCUGCCUCCUCCCCAGUUUCCAUUUCACUUGUACUAGAUCUGGCUCUCCCAGUGGGGACAGCUUCCUUGCAAAACAAACAGCAGAAUCAAUAUUUCCUUCACCAGGCGGGGAGGUGCAGGGUCUUCAGAUGGCAGGCCUGGCCUCUCUCCACUCCUGCUCUCGGGUCCAUGGAGAGGGGCCCUCAGGCACGGGGUCCUUUUCUGCCUCAAUUCAGCAGAUUGCAUUAAAUGAACAGACAUUUAUCGA